GGGGGCGUAGCGCAGUCCGGUAGCGCACCUGUAUGGGGGGCAGGUGGUCGGAGGUUCAAAUCCUCUCGCCCCCA
rnacentral:tRNA from 2 species